GACGAACGCUGGCGGCGUGCUUAACACAUGCAAGUCGAACGAGAGGAGAAGGAAGCUUGCUUCUUUCAAAUCUAGUGGCAAACGGGUGAGUAACACGUAAACAACCUGCCUUCAGGAUGGGGACAACAGACGGAAACGACUGCUAAUACCGAAUACGUUCCUUAGGUCGCAUGGCAGAGGGGAAGAAAGGGAGGCUCUUCGGAGCUUUCGCUGAAGGAGGGGCUUGCGUCUGAUUAGCUAGUUGGAGGGGUAACGGCCCACCAAGGCGACGAUCAGUAGCCGGUCUGAGAGGAUGAACGGCCACAUUGGGACUGAGACACGGGCCCAGACUCCUACGGGAGGCAGCAGUGGGGAAUCUUCCGCAAUGGACGAAAGUCUGACGGAGCAACGCCGCGUGAACGAUGACGGCCUCGG
rnacentral:rRNA from 1 species